UACGGGGGGAGCAAGCGUUGUUCGGAUUUACUGGGCGUAAAGGGCGCGUAGGCGGUCGUGACAAGUCACUUGUGAAAUCUCCGGGCUUAACUCGGAACGGUCAAGUGAUACUGUCGGACUAGAGUACAGAAGGGGCAACUGGAAUUCUCGGUGUAGCGGUGAAAUGCGUAGAUAUCGAGAGGAACACCUGCGGCGAAGGCGGGUUGCUGGGCUGAUACUGACGC
rnacentral:rRNA from 1 species